AUGUUUCUCUCAAGCCAAGGAAGCAAAACAUCCCCUUCUUACCUUUUUACUUUUCUUGGCUUUUCUGCCUUUUUUUUUUUUUUUUUUUUUUUUUUUCCAAGCCUCAGUUUUUUUCCAUCAGAUUAUCUCAGUCUGAUGCUAGGUGCCAAGAUUCCUGAUCGGUGCCUCCUGAAAGCUGGUCUCAGCAUCUCCUCCAAAAGGAGGUCCCAGGCUCACUGGGUCACCCAGCAGGAAGCAUCACAAGUAAGCAUUAGGCUUUACUGGAGACUGUCCUUCAAGAGUUAUACUUACGAUGUAAUUAUAGACUCACAGUGUGUCCUCUGGGGCAGCAAACAUUCUUCACCAGGUAAAUAUGGGCAUCACUCUGACCAUGAGAUAAAAAGAAAGCUCUGGGCCUUCUCAUCCCAGACUGAGGGUCAGAAGCAGGAAGUCAUCUGUUCAGUGUGCUUCCAAUCUAGAGUCACUGCCAACUGUCCUGAACAUACCUGCAUAGACACACACACACACACACACUCUCUCUCACACACACACCUGCACACACACACAGAUAUCGGGAGCACCUGGCCGUGCCCUCUGCAUCCUCCCACGCCCCCAUGGACCGUCUCACAGACUGAAUCUCCCUGUGCAGAGCCUGUCCUCUGUGGGGGGUCUCUCUAAGCCAGACUCCACCUCUCCACCCAGGAACCAGGGUCCAGGGCCUUGGUUCUCAGCACAGAGCUUCAUCUGGGAGCUCAAUAGAAAUGCCAAGUCACAGCCCUAGUCCCUGCCCCUGAAUCAGAACUUUCACAAGACCCCGUGGUGCCCCUGUAUUUGGAGUCUGAGCAGUGCUGGGAGGGGGGCUCCUCUGCGUAUGUCUCUCCUGAACACAGGACUUGGCCUGGCUCCUCUCCAUCCCCCAGGUGUCCGGUGGCCCCCAGUCUCCCAUGGCAGUGCCCGGGUGAAUUCUGCCCCAAGAGGGGCUUGGGCAGAGGGGACGGGAGACUGAGGGAGACGGCGUGUGAAGCACCCGGCAGCCUCUUCCUUGCUCUCCUCCCCCUCCCUCCAGUCAGUCCUUCUUUGUCUUUUUUAUUUUCUUCACAUUCACUAUUCUUAUUCUAUGAGUCACGAUUAAGCCUUUGGGAAGACAUGGUACAUACAUGCAACAGACACUACUCAGUCAUGAAAGAGAAGGAAAUCAUGCCAUCUGCAGCAACGCGGAUGCAACCAGAGACUCCUACUGGCUGAAGUGACACAGAGAAAGACAAAUGUAUCAGUUACAUGCGGACCUGAAAAGGUAACACAAACGAACUUAUCUACAAAACAGACGCAGACACAGAAGACAGACUUGGGGUUGCCCGGGGAAAAAGGGUGGUGGAGGAACGAAUGGGGAGAUUGGGAUGAGCAGAUGCAAGCUGUUACCUAUAGUACGGAUGAGCACCAGGCUCCUACUGUGUAGCACAGGGAGGUAUGGUCAAUAUCCUGGGAUAAACCAUAAUGGAAGAGUACACUUCAUAUGUAGCUGUAACUGAAUCACACAGACUUCCCCUGUGGCUCAGAUAGUAAAGAGUCCGCUCGCAGUGCAGGAGAUCCGGGUUUGAUUCCUGGGUCAGGAAGAUUCCCUGGAGGAGGGCAUGGCAACCCACUCCUGUAUUUUUGCCUGGAGAAUCCCAAGGACAGAGAAACUUGGUGGGCUAUAAUCCAUGGGGUUGCAUAGAGUCAGACACAACUGAGCGACUAACACAUAACUGAAUCACUGCUGUACAGCGGAAAUUAACGUAACAUUGUAAAUUAACCUAUUUCAGUAAAAUUUUAAAAGGAUUCAGACUCUGGAAAGUAAAUCAUUACAUACAUUGCUAACGCAUACAUAUUGUGCACUGUUUAUGAACAUAUAAUCACUGACUGUAUUUUAUUAAAAUAUAAAAGCUUCAAAAGGACUGUUACCCUCUAGGGAGGAAGGGGGGUCUGUUCCAUAAGGAGUUUCAUCUACAUGUGAAAUAGUGAGGCUCUCAGAAAGGAACCUGGAAGUGGGGUCCUUGGGAGGAGUGAGGUGGUGGAGUUUGGGACGUCCUCUGAAGGCAGCACGU
rnacentral:lncRNA from 1 species